AACCUCUGGUGUACCGGUUGUGACGCCAGUCGCAUCGCCGGGUAGCUAAGUUCGGAAGAGAUAACCGCUGAAAGCAUCUAAGCGGGAAACUCGCCUCAAGAUGAGAUAUCCCGGGGAUUCGAUCCCCCUGAAGGGUCGUCCAAGACCAGGACGUUGAUAGGCAGGGUGUGGAAGCGCAGCAAUGCGUUAAGCUAACCUGUACUAAUUGCCCGUGAGGCUUGACCCUAUAACAG
rnacentral:rRNA from 1 species